CUGAUGUUCAGUCAGCAGCAAGACAACAUGGAGGUCACAGCUCUCUGCAUCACAAUGCGUGAGUACUGAGUCUGUUACUUUAUAGUACAAACUUUCAGCUGCUGUAUUGUGUUUUUAUGUAUCAGCACUUUAAUCUCAUAAAUAUAUCAUUUUUUCUUUAGUCCCUUUAGUGAUGAUUGUGAUGAUGCUGCUGUGUGAACAUGAUCUGAAAGCUGAUGCAGCUUCUCUUCAUAUUGGUCCGAACAGAGCACAGUUCUUUGAAUAUGAGUCAGUAACUUUUUAUUGUGAGGGUGUCUCUUAUUGUGAAGUUGUACAUGAGUCCAAAGGAAAAAUAUCAUCAUGUAAUAAAACCAAUAAGAGAACAUCAACAGGGUCGUCCUGCACCGUUACAAAUAUUUAUACAGAUGACAGUGGAAAAUACUGGUUUGAGACUGGAGGGGGGAACAAAAGCAACAGUGUCAACAUCACUGUCACUAGUAAGUUUUUAUCAUGACAACAACAUUUUGCCAUAAAUUCAACAUGAGUGCAUCAAUAAAUCAGCUUUUACAUCCUUGUUGUUCAGCUGGUUCAGUGAUCCUGGAAAUUCCUGCUCUUCCUGUGAUGGAGGGAGAAGCUGUAACUCUGACUUGUAGAAACAAGAUGACUUCCUCACAGACCUCAGCUGAUUUCUAUUAUUAUGAAGUCUUCAUCAGUAACAGCUCUACAGGAAACAUGAUCAUCAACAGUGUUUCCAAGUCUGAUGAAGGACUCUACAAGUGCAGCAUCUCUGGAGCUGGAGAAUCAGCAGAGAGCAGGUUGACUGUCAGAGGUGAGACACAGAAAUAUUUGAAAAUAGAAUUUAGACAACAACAAUACAUGUGGUAUAAAUGACAAAUGAAACGCUUCAUAUUGACUGUAAACUACCUUUUGUACUCAUUGCAGAUAGUGAAAAAGAGACGGUUACUACCUCUUUCAAAGACACGAGUACUACCUCUUCCAAAGAGAUGGUUACUUUCUCUUCCACUUUCAAUCCAUGGAUCAUUGUCACAGUUUUACUUCUGCUUCUUCUGAUCUGUGUGGGGCUACUUCAUUUUGUCAAAAGUUACUGGCACAGAGUAGUGUUGUACGUGUCCACACAAAGACCUGGAUCAGGAUCAGCUGGGAAUCAAACAGUCUAUGAAAGUGUCAAUUCAACUGUUACAAGCACAGCAGCAUAUGCUGUAGUAACAAAAACCAGGAAAAAGAAAGAACCGACUGUAUCACUUGCACUGGUUCGUAACAACCCACCUUUUACAGAAAAUGCUUUCUAUUCUACAAUCCAGUGGGUUUAGAAGAGUGAGCUGACUGAAGGAGAAGCUUCAAAAGACAGUUAUCAUCACUUUUUUUUUUAAAUUAACACCAUUAUAUGACAGUAAGACAGCUGCUUGUUUAGUAUACAAUAGUCACAAACUAUUUUAAACCCUUAUGUUUGUACUACUAAAUAGAAAUGAUGAAUUUAUACACAUGUCCAUACCUUUGUAUGAAAGUUACACUCUAUAUUACACUUUCUUUUCUUUCUUUUUUAUAUUUGUGUUCACAAUGUACAAUCAUGUUUUUUUGGACAACCCUGUUGAUGUUCUGACUUUGAAGGUUUUUAAACGUAUUUUGACAACAUUUUGAAUUCAGACCCUGCUUUUUAAUAUGUGGUGUAGAGGUUCACGCUUGUGGUCUAAGUGAGUUUGACACAAAUAAACAAAAAGUCAGCUCCAGAAAAGCAAUUUGCACCCAAUAAAAAAAAAAAAAAAAAAAACAUGACAAGAAAAACUGACUAAACAUUUUCUUUCUGCAUGAAAUGUGAUCUGAUAUCUAAUAUUUCUAAGCUGAAUAAUCUGUCAUGGUCUUUCAUGUCAAUACAUCAGCUGUUCACUUACUUCUA
rnacentral:lncRNA from 1 species